rnacentral:rRNA from 1 species
GUCGGGAAUCUUGGGCAAUGGGCGCAAGCCUGACCCAGCGACGCCGCGUGAGGGAUGAAGGCCUUCGGGUCGUAAACCUCUGUCAGGAGGGAAGAACGGCGGCGAGGUGAACAAUCUCGCCGAUUGACGGUACCUCCAAAGGAAGCGCCGGCUAACUCCGUGCCAGCAGCCGCGGUAAUACGGAGGGCGCAAGCGUUGUUCGGAAUCACUGGGCGUAAAGCGCGUGUAGGCGGCCGAGCAAGUCGGAUGUGAAAUCCCGAGGCUCAACCUCGGAACGGCAUUCGAAACUGCUCGGCUCGAGUCCCGGAGAGGAUGGCGGAAUUCCCGGUGUAGGGGUGAAAUCCGUAGAUAUCGGGAGGAACACCAGUGGCGAAGGCGGCCAUCUGGACGGUGACUGACGCUGAGACGCGAAAGCGUGGGGAGCAAACAGGAUUAGAUACCCCGGUAGUCC